AAUCCAUGCAUCGAACACUUUCGAAUUAAGUCUUUAAAUCACUCCCAAGCUUCAUAUAGUGUUUCAUCCUCCAACUAUUGAAAAGGUGUGAUCUCAUUUCUAAGCUU
rfam:Gossypium hirsutum cultivar TM-1 chromosome 20, whole genome shotgun sequence